AGCUCGCGUAGGCUACGAGAUGCAAACACAAUGUCCGCUAUGCUUCUUCACCGCUUAGCUAGAGAACAAUUUUGCAAUGUGAAACAGCCGAAGUGGAUUUUGAAAAUCUAUUGUUGGAUUCGGACAUUCAGGCUCGUACAAAUAGGAGAGGAGGAGGCUGAUGCGGCUGCAGCUGAACAAGCAUUGCCUGUUGCCGAGGACGAGGAGCCAGAGCGCGCCGAUGGGAUACAUAUUUCCGGACCCAGAAAGUGAACUGGAAACGCCAGCCUAAGCCCGACGUCUGAGCAUAGAAUAAUUACCCAGCACAAGAUGGGCAGUACCGUGGCUACCAGGGGAGCAUGUCUAUGUUCCCCGGGUCCUAUGUUCCCGGGUCCUAUGUUCCCGGGUCCUAUGUUCCCCUCUUUUUAUGAGACUUUUCCCAAAAAGGGUCCCAUGUUCCCCGGUCUGUUACUUUUUCCACCAUUAGUACUGCCAAAUUCCGGCCAGAUAACCACCAUUGCAUGUCUUUACCAUUUGUGGAAGAGGGAGAGACGUCGGAGGACCCGACGCAGCCUAUUCAUAAUAUUGUAAUGACCACGGAAGAGGCAGUGAAUGAAGUAUUGAUUAGAGAGAGAUUUAUUAGAUAGGCCUACCUAAUAAACCGUUAGAACACACAAGACCGGAAACCAUAGCAACGCCGGUAAACAAACCCAGAGAAGCCUAAUCCCUACGAGAGCUCCCCGCGCUACGGCCAUCCGGAGGCGGACACAGCCAAUCAGCGUUCAACCGGCCAACUCAGUGCAGUGCAGUCCCGGGGUGAACUGCAGCAUGGAGGAGAAAGUGAUUGUUGCCGUUUGCGACUCCCGGAGCUCUAUAUAUAAUAGUAUAUAAUUUAAUAUAAUUGUAUAAUAUCACGGCCAAAAACUGUGCGCCUCCGCCGUCUCUCCCUCUUCCACAAAAGGUAAAGACAUGCAAUGGCACAAACACACUCGCUCCCCCCGCCCGUUGCGAGUCCGCGAGAUUCUCAUGGACGCGCGUGUGUGACGUAGUCUGGACGGCGCGCUGCUGUAGGUGUGUAUACCUCCGACCGGUGAGUGAGAACAGCGAGAGAGAGAAAAAAGGAUGGAAACUGAGGAUUUGGUUUUGAAAAAGAAUAGCAUUGGAUCCGUCGUCUGGCAGUGUAUAUAUAAUAAUUAUUAUGCAAACAGUUCAUAAAUAAUUAACGGUUUGAAUAAAUGCUGUGUUGGUAAAUCUAACUUGCUGU
ensembl:lncRNA